rnacentral:rRNA from 1 species
CCUACGGGUGGCAGCAGUGGGGACUAUUGCGCAAUGGGCGAAAGCCUGACGCAGCGACGCCGCGUGAAGGAAGAAGGCUUUCGGGUUGUAAACUUCUUUUAAGAGGGAAGAGCAGAAGACGGUACCUCUUGAAUAAGCCACGGCUAACUACGUGCCAGCAGCCGCGGUAAUCCGUAGUGUGCAAGCGUUGUCCGGAUUUACUGGGUGUAAAGGGCGUGCAGCCGGGAAGACAAGUCAGAUGUGAAAUCCCGCGGCUCAACCGCGGAACUGCAUUUGAAACUGUUUUUCUUUAGUACCGGAGAGGUAAUCGGAAUUCCUUGUGUAGCGGUGAAAUGCGUAGAUAUAAGGAAGAACACCAGUGGCGAAGGCGGAUGACUGGACGGCAACUGACGGUGAGGCGCGAAAGCGUGGGGAGCAAACAGGAUUAGAUACCCGGGUAGUC